GGGGAUAUAACUCAGCAGUAGAGUGUCACCUUGAUGUGAUGAAAGUUAUUAGUUCGAGCCUGAUUAUACCCA
rnacentral:tRNA from 1 species